rnacentral:rRNA from 1 species
UACAGAGGUCUCAAGCGUUGUUCGGAUUUAUUGGGCGUAAAGGGUGCGUAGGCGGUGCGGUAAGUCGGGUGUGAAAUCUCGGAGCUUAACUCCGAAACUGCAUUCGAUACUGCCGUGCUUGAGGACUGGAGAGGAGACUGGAAUUUACGGUGUAGCGGUGAAAUGCGUAGAUAUCGUAAGGAAGACCAGUGGCGAAGGCGGGUCUCUGGACAGUUCCUGACGCUGAGGCACGAAGGUCAGGGGAGCAAACGGG